UGCGCGUCAACUUGUGAACUGCAGGACACAUGAACAUCGACAUUUCGAACGCACAUUGCGGUCCUCGGAUACUGUUCCUGGACCACUCCUGGCUGAGGGUCGCAUCCAUCAGACUGCCGGAUUUUCGUCUUAUCUCUGAGAGGGCGAAUAUUUCCGAGCGAGAUUGGGGGUUCGCGCGCGCGGACACUUUCGGGUGUCCUUUCGCGUCCCCUUAAAACGCACAGGUCGGCUCGAUUUCGGUCGGGCCGGCCGACAGCGUCCGCGCCGUGCGCGCAAGGACGGUUCCUCAAAAGACGGACCGACCGGCUGACGUGUCAUAGACUUUGGUCUAAGAAGACGUCUGGCCGUGCCGAAACGUCUCGGAACGCCAUCGUCCUCGCGCACAUUCCAAGGUGCGACGCGAAAAAUUGCUUACGCGACCUCAGAUCAGGUGGGAUUACCCGCUA
rnacentral:rRNA from 1 species